rnacentral:rRNA from 1 species
GACGAACGCUGGCGGCGUGCUUAACACAUGCAAGUCGAACGGAAAGGCCCUGCUUUUGUGGGGUGCUCGAGUGGCGAACGGGUGAGUAACACGUGAGUAACCUGCCCUUGACUUUGGGAUAACUUCAGGAAACUGGGGCUAAUACCGGAUAGGAGCUCCUGCUGCAUGGUGGGGUUGGAAAGUUUCGGCGGUUGGGGAUGGACUCGCGGCUUAUCAGCUUGUUGGUGGGGUAGUGGCUUACCAAGGCUUUGACGGGUAGCCGGCCUGAGAGGGUGACCAGCCACAUUGGGACUGAGAUACGGCCCAGACUCCUACGGGAGGCAGCAGUGGGGAAUAUUGCACAAUGGGCGGAAGCCUGAUGCAGCAACGCCGCGUGCGGGAUGACGGCCUUCGGGUUGUAAACCGCUUUCGCCUGUGACGAAGCGUGAGUGACGGUAAUGGGUAAAGAAGCACCGGCUAACUACGUG